ensembl:lncRNA
AGCUGCGACUGUAUCAACAACAAAGCCACUUAAAGAAGAAACCACUGGCACAACAACUGCUGCUACAACAGCUGUAGUUGAAACAACCACCUCAGUGCCACAGCCCUCAACAACUAGCCCUGAAACAACAGUUGUAACUUCAACAUCAACCGUUGAGACGGAGACAACAGUGACUACAUCAGUAACAACAGAAGGUACUACAGCCAAACCCACUGAAACUUCCACAUCCGAGGUUUCAACAGCUGCGACUGUAUCAACAACAAAGCCACUUAAAGAAGAAACCACUGGCACAACAACUUCUGCUACAACAGCUGUAGUUGAAACCACUACCUCAGUGCCACAGCCCUCAACAACUAGCCCUGAAACAACAGUUGUAACUUCAACACCAACCGUUGAGACAGUGACAACAGUGACCACAGUGACUACAACAGAAGGUACUACAGCCAAACCCACUGAAACUUUCACAUCCGAGGUUUCAACAGCUGCGACUGUAUCAACAACAAAGCCACUUAAAGAAGAAACCACUGGCACAACAACUGCUGCUACAACAGCUGUAGUUGAAACAACCACCUCAGUGCCACAGCCCUCAACAACUAGCCCUGAAACAACAGUUGUAACUUCAACACCAACCGUUGAGACAGUGACAACAGUGACUACAGUGACUACAUCAGUAACAACAGAAGGUACUACAGAAAAACCCACUGAAACUACAACCUCCGAGGUCUCAACAGCUGCGACUGUAUCAACAACAAAGCCACUUAAAGAAGAAACCACUGGCACAACAACUGCUGCUACAACAGCUGUAGUUGAAACAACCACCUCAGUGCCACAGCCCUCAACAACUAGCCCUGAAACAACAGUUGUAACUUCAACACCAACUGUUGAGACAGUGACAACAGUGACCACAGUGAAGUAACAACAGAAGGUACUACAGCCAAACCCACUGAAACUUCGACAUCCGAGGUUUCAACAGCUGCGACUGUAUCAACAACAAAGCCACUUAAAGAAGAAACCACUGGCACAACAACUUCUGCUACAACAGCUGUAGUUGAAACCACUACCUCAGUGCCACAGCCCUCAACAACUAGCCCUGAAACAACAGUUG